UCAAAAAUAUGAAAAGCAAAAAUAUAUUUAUUUAAUAAUCAAUUAUUAUCAAUAUAAUGAGCAGUAAUAGUAAUAAAAUAAUAACUACCAAAAGAUACUGUCCAAAUAGUAGAAGUUAAUGAUACUUUUGAAUUUAGGAUAGAAAAAGAUUGGAUCAAAUUUUAUUUUAUUGCUAAAAAAUUAAUCAUAGCUACUAUUCUAAAUGUACAUCUACUAUUUUUUC
rnacentral:lncRNA from 1 species